rnacentral:rRNA from 3 species
GCAACGGAUAUCUCGGCUCUCGCAUCGAUGAAGAACGUAGCGAAAUGCGAUACUUGGUGUGAAUUGCAGAAUCCCGUGAACCAUCGAGUCUUUGAACGCAAGUUGCGCCCGAAGCCUUCGGGCCAAGGGCACGUCUGCCUGGGCGUCACG